rnacentral:rRNA from 1 species
CUCUUAUAGAUUUUAUAGAAUUUGGUUUUUAGGUGAAGAAACCUAAAUGUAAUUAAAAGACAAGAAGACCCUAUCGAGCUUAAAAUAAUUUUUUUGGUAUAAUGAUAACAUCCUACUCAAAAAAAGAUUUUGGUUGGGGCGACUAAGGAACACAAAAAGCUUCCUAUAAACUAUAGCUACUAAUAAGUAUUGAUCCAAAAAAUUUGAUUAACAGAAUUAGUUACCGUAGGGAUAACAGCAUAAUCUUUUCUAAGAGUCCUUAUCGAAGAAAAGGUUUGUGACCUCGAUGUUGGACUAGGGUACCCAGACAGGUGCAGAAGCCUUCAAUGGUUGGUCUGUUCGACCA